rnacentral:lncRNA from 1 species
CUAAGCUCAAAUCCUAGAUAUCAACCAUUUAAUCGAAAUCAGUUACAUAGACUAGCUCACAAACCUAAGAAUCAUUUUUGAUUUUAAAAAAUUAAGCAAUAUUCUCUAUCAGGUUAUUCUAAUGUUAACAACCUAUCCAACCCAAAGUCAAUGAGCUAUACUUGAUAAGUAGAUGGACAAUGACAAUAAAGAUAGGUGCUAUAUGUUGAAGUCCAUGUUAAAAUAAAUUCCAACGUAUGCAUGAGCACAUGUAUACUGUC